CCUACGGGAGGCAGCAGUGAGGAAUAUUGGUCAAUGAACGAGAGUCUGAACCAGCCAAGUAGCGUGAAGGAUGACUGCCCUAUGGGUUGUAAACUUCUUUUAUAUGGGAAUAAAAUGUUCCACGUGUGGGAUUUUGUAUGUACCAUAUGAAUAAGGAUCGGCUAACUCCGUGCCAGCAGCCGCGGUAAUACGGAGGAUCCGAGCGUUAUCCGGAUUUAUUGGGUUUAAAGGGAGCGUAGGUGGAUUGUUAAGUCAGUUGUGAAAGUUUGCGGCUCAACCGUAAAAUUGCAGUUGAAACUGGCAGUCUUGAGUACAGUAGAGGUGGGCGGAAUUCGUGGUGUAGCGGUGAAAUGCUUAGAUAUCACGAAGAACUCCGAUUGCGAAGGCAGUUCACUGGACUGCAACUGACACUGAGGCUCGAAAGUGUGGGUAUCAAACAGGAUUAGAUACCCGAGUAGUC
rnacentral:rRNA from 1 species